GGCACAAAAGAGUACCACGAGGCACGAGAAACCUAGUGGGAACAUAGGGGGACCACCCCCUAAGGCUAAAUACUACUUGGUGACCGAUAGCGAACAAGUACCGUGAGGGAAAGGUGAAAAGAACCCCGGGAGGGGAGUGAAAAAGAAUCUGAAACCUAGUGUUUACAAGCAGCGAAACUGGUGCAAACCAGGAUCGUGUACUUUUUGUAGAACGGGCCAGCGAGUUAUGAUAAAAAGCAAGGUUAAGAAAUUAAGUUUCGAAGCCGUAGAGAAAUCGAGUCUUAAAAGGGCGUAAGUUAUUUGUCAUAGACCCGAAACCGUGUGAUCUAUCCUUGGGCAGGGUGAAGUUAAAGUAAAAUUUAAUGGAGGCCCGAACCGGGUAGCGUUUAAAAGCUAUCGGAUGACCUGAGGAUAGGGGUGAAAAGCCAAACGAACACGGAGAUAGCUGGUUCUCCUCGAAAUAGCUUUAGGGCUAGCCUUUAGCAGAAGUGACGCGGGGGUAGAGCACUGAAUAGCCAAGGGGCGUUAAACGUUACCGAGGCCUAUCAAACUCCGAAUACCGAAUCACAAGCUAAGGAGUCAGACUAUGUGGGAUGAGCUUCAUAGUCGAAAGGGAAAGAGCCCAGACCACCAGCUAAGGUCCCAAAAUACUGAUUAAGUGGAAAAGGAUGUGGAGUUACUGAGACAACUAGGAUGUUGGCUUAGAAGCAGCCAUGCAUUCAAAGAGUGCGUAAUAGCUCACUAGUCAAGUGACUCUGCGCCGAAGAUAACCGGGGCUAAAUCAGAUACCGAAGCUGUGGAAUUACAAACGUAAUUGGUAGAGGAGCAAUGUAUGCAGGAAGAAGCAGAAGCCGUAAGGCACUGUGGACAACAUACAAGAGAGAAUGCUGGCAUGAGUAGCGAGAAGGUGAGUGAGAAUCUCACCCGUCGAAAACCCAAGGAUUCCUGAGGAAGGCUCGUCCACUCAGGGUAAGUCGGGACCUAAGGCGAGGCCGAAAGGCGUAGUCGAUGGACAACAGGUUGAAAAUCCUGUACCGAUAUCAAGCGACAAAAAGUAAGUGGGGACGCAGGAGGAUAGGAGCAGCGCCCAGUUGGUGAGGCGUACAAGCGCAAAGUCUGGAAAGUAGGCAAAUCCGCUUUCCAUAAGGAUGAAGCGUGAUGUGGAUCGAAAAAAAGUAGAGAAGGAUCCGACUCCACACUGCCAAGAAAAGCCACUAUCAAGUAAGAUAUCGCCCGUACCGUAAACCGACACAGGUAGGAGAGGAGAGAAUCCUAAGACGCGCGGAAGAACCUUUGUUAAGGAACUCGGCAAAAUGACCCCGUAAGUUAGCGAGAAGGGGAGCCUAACCAGAAAUGGAAGGCCGCAGUGAAAAGGCCCAAGCGACUGUUUACCAAAAACACAAGUCUCUGCAAAGUCGAAAGACGAAGUAUAGGGGCUGACACCUGCCCGGUGCUGGAAGGUUAAGGGAAAGAGUUAGCGUAAGCGAAGCUCAGAACUGAAGCCCCAGUAAACGGCGGCCGUAACUAUAACGGUCCUAAGGUAGCGAAAUUCCUUGUCGGGUAAGUUCCGACCCGCACGAAAGGUGUAACG
rnacentral:rRNA from 1 species